AUUUAUUUCUCUGGAUGUCAGUUUCCCCGAUGGCAAAACAGGCGAACCAGUGCCUAUCUUGGGAAGACAGGAAGAAUGAACAAUCUAAAGUAUCUAGCACCAUGCCUACUUCCUGUGUGAUCAUGUAUUCACUCAACAAACAACCAGUACACAUCUACUGUGUGGAACCGUGAUCAAUGAAUCACAGUUUAGUGAGGAUCCCACUGGGGCCACCCUGGGGCACAGGGUCCGGAGUCCCUGGGACACCCCAGGGUGGAACCAGGAAUGGGGUCGGAGGAGGAAGGUGGAGAUGAACCUCAGAGUCAGUUCUCAGUGGAAUCCCCGUCACCGGAUUGCAGGAAGUGAGGCGAAGGUGUGCCACUCUGCACACAGGAGAGACUGAGGCUAGAGCUAAGAAGGGCCUCCAGAGGAAAAGGCAAGAGCAUGGAGGCCGCAGGCCAGUGGGGAGGAUAAAAUAAGCUGAUGCACGCACAGAGCUUUGCCCAGCAUACGGCCCAUGUGUU